CGGGGUGUGGCGCAGUCUGGCAGCGCGCUCGGUUUGGGACCGAGAGGUCCGCGGUUCAAAUCCGCGCUCCCCGA
rnacentral:tRNA from 1 species